rnacentral:tRNA from 1 species
GGAUUCGCAGCUCAGCUGGCAGAGCGCUUGCCGCGUUGAGGCAUGCUGUGUCCGUCGUUGGUUCGAAUCCAACCGAAGCCC